rnacentral:rRNA from 1 species
GGAGUCUGGGCCGUGUCUCAGUCCCAAUGUGGCCGUCCGCCCUCUCAGGCCGGCUACUGAUCGUCGCCUUGGUGGGCCGUUACCCCGCCAACUGGCUAAUCAGACGCAUCCCCAUCCCUUACCGAUGAAUCUUUGCUCCUCGUUAGAUGCCCGCAAAGGAGAACAUAGGGCAUUAAUCCGACUUUCGCCGGGCUAUUCCCUAGUAAGGGGAAGGUUGGAUACGCGUUACUCACCCGUGCGCCGGUCGCCAUCAAAGUUUGCAAGCAAACUUCAUGCUGCCCCUCGACUUGCAUGUGUUAAGCCUGUAGCUAGCGUUCAUC